rnacentral:rRNA from 1 species
GAUCCUGGCUCAGGACGAACGCUGGCGGCGUGCCUAACACAUGCAAGUCGAGCGAGUGGAGUUCUUCGGAACAAAGCUAGCGGCGGACGGGUGAGUAACACGUGGGCAACCUGCCUCAUAGAGGGGAAUAGCCUUCCGAAAGGGAGAUUAAUACCGCAUAAGAUUGUAGCUUCGCAUGAAGUAGCAAUUAAAGGAGCAAUCCGCUAUGAGAUGGGCCCGCGGCGCAUUAGCUAGUUGGUGAGGUAACGGCUCACCAAGGCGACGAUGCGUAGCCGACCUGAGAGGGUGAUCGGCCACAUUGGGACUGAGACACGGCCCAGACUCCUACGGGAGGCAGCAGUGGGGAAUAUUGCACAAUGGGGGAAACCCUGAUGCAGCAACGCCGCGUGAGUGAUGACGGCCUUCGGGUUGUAAAGCUCUGUCUUCAGGGACGAUAAUGACGGUACCUGAGGAGGAAGCCACGGCUAACUACGUGCCAGCAGCCGCGGUAAUACGUAGGUGGCGAGCGUUGUCCGGAUUUACUGGGCGUAAAGGGAGCGUAGGCGGGCUUUUUAGUGAGAUGUGAAAUACUCGGGCUCAACUUGAGUGCUGCAUUUCAAACUGGAAGUCUAGAGUGCAGGAGAGGAGAAUGGAAUUCCUAGUGUAGCGGU